rnacentral:tRNA from 1 species
UAGGGAUGACAGGAUUGAACCUGCGACAUUUUGUACCCAAAACAAACGCGCUA